rnacentral:rRNA from 1 species
AUGCUGAAUGAGGAGGAAUUUGAAACAGCAUGGGAGGCGCUGCUAGAUAAGUACAGCUUGAGGAGCCAUAGCUACAUGACCCAAAUAUAUGAGACUAGGCGGAAGUGGGAAAAACCUUAUUUCAGAGGAGUGUUCUACGCAAAAAUGACAAGCACGCAAAGGAGUGAGAGUGCAAACCACAUGUUGAAGUCUUACAUGCCACCAGCAAGCCCAAUGCACGUGUUUGUCAGGAAAUACAUGAAGCUACAGUUUGACCACGAGGGCGACGAAAGCUACGAGGAAAAGAGGACGAUGAUAGGCGGUGCGGUGAGGCAGACUAAUCUCGCAAUAGAGCGACAUGCCAGCAAGGUGUACACCAGGAACAUGUUUGAGGAAUUCGGGCGUUUACUCAUGGAAGGAACUGCAUACAAUGUUACAGAGGUGGAAAGGAUGAGGAAAUACAGGACCACCCACAAUAAUGCAGCAAAAAGGGAAAAGUGGAGUAGGGUCGACUACGAGGUGACCAUCAACAAAGACAGAUCGAUAUUCAAUUGCGAGUGCGGGCAGUUUGAUCACACAGGGAUGCUUUGCAGCCAUCUGUUGAGGGUUAUGGAAAUUCUUCACCUUGAAGACAUUCCAAAACACCAUAUCCUAAAACGUUGGACCAGAGAUGCAAGGGAUAUACUCCCCGAUCACCUGGUGCAAUACCAAAAGGACAAUUCACAAAAUUUGUCAUUUACGUUUAGGCAUGCGACGCUGUACUUCAAAGCCAUGGAAGUUGUGAGGAUGGGGGACGCAAGCGCUGCAUGCUAUGAACACGUCAAGGCCAGCCUGGAUUCGCUGCUUCAGAGUGCAGCGCCUCUAGCAGAGAAAAGGGAUGGCCUCGCUUUUGAGGACCGUGUGAUUGCAAAUGAAGAUGCCAGGCACUUUGCCAAUGGCAACAACUCAUUAGCUAGUCUCCAUGGUGAUCACAGCCAAAGUGCCGCUAAUUCUGUCAGCACGAAUGCGUUACAGUGCCUUGCAGCGCCGCAGAAAAGGAAGGGUCCUGGCAGGCCGACGAACAACAGAGAUAAGGCGCCAUAUGAAGGGCUUAGUGAGAGAACCCGGUUCUGCAGCCUGUGUCGGUGCAGAGGUCAUAAACAGACCACAUGCCCAGAAAGGGGUGAUGAGCCGAAGAAGCCAAGGAAACCAGGCAAAUGCAAAAACUGUGGUUUAGAAGGACAUCGGCGUACUACAUGCAAAAGGCCGAUUGGGUUUGCUGAUAACUAA